ensembl:lncRNA
CUUGCGAGUUCCGGUUUCAGGAGUCCAUUAGUGCAUACGCACUAGUACUGGAGCCCAGCCUGACGUCCACCAAAUGCAUGUUGUCUAGCCUGCUUUUCAACUAGUUAAAGAUAGCUAGGUGGAGUCUGUGUGUGUACUUCGGUUGGUACCACCGCAUGGUAAAACAACGCACGCAUUGACGCUAUUGAAUGCAUGCGGUUCACAGAACGCACCGCAACGUUUCGGACUGCUCCAUUGACAAUUAACUACUUCCCCAGGAUGCAAAGAGUUUGAUGCAUCUGGUGGGCUUGAGCCCAGAGCAUGAUGGAGUGGGGACCUGCAUUCCAGCACCGGAUUGUGGAUCUUGAUUAGAGGGGAGGGGAAAUAUGCAGGCACAAAAGCACAACCACUGGAAACAUGAAAUAAAUGUUGUCUACAAGGAAAUUAUUCAGGACAAAGACUGUGCUCUAGCUUGCUCUGUGUGUGCACCUCAGAAGACAGUUGGAUGAUAUUUGCUAUUGAACGCAACACAAUCACAACAGCAACUACGGCUUGGUACAGAUAUAGCUUGGUAACGUCAGGUGUAUUCUGGGAGCUGUAGUCCUCUUAUUACAGCAAAACAGGAACUGCAAGAAGUCAGCCAUCAUGGUGCGGAGAUCUGGGUGCUGCUGCAGUGAUGGCUAUACCACAGGGAGUGCUGUUGAUAUCUCCAUGGCUGUGUGCGUACAGCAGUAUGCUCCCUGCAAACUGGCCCUCUCCACAAGUCACCUUGAAUUCUCCCAGCUCUCCACUCUUCUCAGACACAGAAAGUCUUCAAACACACACUGCAGUGCUGCACCCCCACAGUCCCUACUCAGAGCAAACACACAAUUCAAGUAGCUAUUAAACAAACACACCAUCAC